rnacentral:rRNA from 1 species
CCUACGGGGGACAGCAGUGGGGAAUAUUGCACAAUGGGGGAAACCCUGAUGCAGCGACGCCGCGUGAAGGAAGAAGUAUUUCGGUAUGUAAACUUCUAUCAGCAGGGAAGAAAAUGACGGUACCUGACUAAGAAGCCCCGGCUAACUACGUGCCAGCAGCCGCGGUAAUACGUAGGGGGCAAGCGUUAUCCGGAUUUACUGGGUGUAAAGGGAGCGUAGGCGGUUUAGCAAGUCAGAAGUGAAAGCCCGGGGCUCAACUCCGGGACUGCUUUUGAAACUGUUGAACUAGAGUGCAGGAGAGGCAGAUGGAAUUCCUAGUGUAGCGGUGAAAUGCGUAGAUAUUAGGAGGAACACCAGUGGCGAAGGCGGUCUGCUGGACAGCAACUGACGGUGAGGCGCGAAAGCGUGGGGAGCGAACAGGAUUAGAUACCCUGGUAGUC